UACGAAGGGGGCUAGCGUUGCUCGGAAUCACUGGGCGUAAAGGGUGCGUAGGCGGGUCUUUAAGUCAGGGGUGAAAUCCUGGAGCUCAACUCCAGAACUGCCUUUGAUACUGAGGAUCUUGAGUCCGGGAGAGGUGAGUGGAACUGCGAGUGUAGAGGUGAAAUUCGUAGAUAUUCGCAAGAACACCAGUGGCGAAGGCGGCUCACUGGCCCGGUACUGACGCUGAGGUACGAAAGCGUGGGGAGCAAACAGG
rnacentral:rRNA from 1 species